GGUUAUGGCUCAGUGGUAGAGCGCUCGCCUAGCACAUGAGGCACUGGGUUCGAUCCUCAGCACCA
rnacentral:tRNA from 1 species